AAGAAAAAAAACGGAGUGAAGAGCAAUGGCAAGAGGAUCUGCAGAGUAACGGCUGAAAACAAAAAAAGGGAAAGAAAAGAGGGAGGCAACCGAGAGCAGGGGGAGGGCCGAGAAAAAGAAAAGCAAAAAGGAAACGGCUGGAGAGGUUGGUGGCGGCAUAAAAGGGAAGUAAGUGACGGCUGGAAAGGGAGGCUUUGAGAGAGUUUUGGCCGAGCAGGAAGCAAGGAAAACCAGGGGGGGACAGCCGCAACUUUGGCAAAAACAAAAGAGAGAAAGCCAGAGAGAGGAGGGGUUUGGAGUGAGAUACGUGAGCGGAUGAAACAAGAGAGUAACGGCGAGGGUCUUUGAGGAGAGAACAAAAGAGACGGAUCCGGGAAAGAAAAAAUGAAAAGCUGAUUAUCAGCUAUGUUUUAGCCCUCAUAUCUCUUCAGUUUUUGAUGAUUCCAAGAAAAAUUCGAGUUCUGCAUCAACUAGGAAGUAAGGGGAGAAGAUUUUGUUCAGAGAUCGAUCGCAAAGGACAUUGAUAAGGUCUUCGAAUCUGCCCCCAAAGACCGCUGCCUAGCUUCAUUGGUGCGGGUUCGAAGCUGCGACGGAGCAACUUCAGCGCCUACUCCACGUUUUUUUUCCCUGCUUUGUUUCGAUCCAAAAGCUUCCUCAGGUAUCUUCUUAAGCUGAUAUUCUUUUGUGGUUGGGCCGUGUUCUUGUGUUGUUUUAGUGUUUUUUUUUGUUUUGUCGCUGCUGAUGUUUGUAGUUGCUUGCUGAUUUAUGUGCUUCCUUGUUCGUUUGUAUAGUUUUAAUCUUGCCUAUGAAGUGUUCGGUCAUUUCGUUGAGAAGUGAGUUUGAAUUCUUGAUGUCGAGCUUUAGGGUAGAAUUCGCUGCUAUCAUGGUUCGUAGCAGCAAAGGAUGAGUAUGUAUAGAAUUAGAUAUGGCUUGAUUUCAAAAAUAUGACAAAGCUGGAAACUGGAAGCUUUUUCCUUUCUUGCUGACCGAAUGGUCAAACCUGUUUUGGGAGGUUAUAUUUCGAAAGUUUUAGUGUCAUUUAACCAUCAAUUUCUUGUUAAAUGUUUCGGGAACUUUAGUUUAAAAAAUGGAGUGAAUUGAGGUUGAUUUCAUUGGACAAAACCUUUGGAAAGAAAGAAAGAGUGGGUUGGCAGAUUUGCUUUGAAAAUUUCACAAACUUUGGCCAUUUUGUAAACCGCCUUCCCACAUGAGUUUUUGCCUAUAAUUUGAUAGAGAGGUAGUCCACAUAUGAAUUUUAAGUAUACCAAAUUUGGCAUAAUUUCAAUACCAUGUUGAUAUCCAAAUGAUGCCCCAAAGAUUGCUCUUCAAAUCUGGAAAUUCACUGAUCAGUUUGCAAGAUUCAGCUGACUUUAAACUGUUAUAUCUUGAUGCUCAAAACUCCGAAUUUGGUUCUGUUUAUCGUGUUUGAAACCUCGUUUGGAACCCUUAUUGUGUUAUGAAUUUCAAGGGCUGAUUCACUUUCUGUGAAUUAUAUCUAAUUUCCAAGAUUGCUGGAAAACAAGACUGGUUCAAACCUGUCUUCUUGGAACUGAAAUUUUGAGCUGAAAAAAUGAAUGCUUUUCAUUUAGAAUCUUGGAAAAGUGUCUUCUAGGAACAUUUAGUACUUCGAACCUAGUUUCCGAUGGUAUAAGUUUCCAUUUUUGGACAUGCCAAACUCAACAUUUGAUUUUCCAAAGAUCAUCGCGCAAAUGUUCCAAUUGAACACUUUCUAUUUUUUAUUAUUCUCAAAGGAGAAGAUUAUUCUCUUUAACAAACAUAUACUGAUCCAAUCACGAUCUUAUGAUAAGAAACAAGAGAUCUUGCCCCUCAUUCUCGAGAAUCAGAAAGAUCCUUUUCAAAUUUGAAUUUGUUUAUUUGGAAUCUCUGAUUUCUUAGGAAAUGAGUUUUUAAGAACUUGUUACUCUCUCUCGAUAUCGAUAGACCAUUUUAAACUCAAUUUCAUGAAGAGGCAAGUCUCUCUUCGGACUUUAAAUCCUUACUUUGAACCUCGAUUUUCGAGAGAUUUAAAGUUUUCUUUCAUGACAUUGUCUUAGUAUUGCACAAGUGUACAUUCUUCCUUGUUGGCAUAGGGUUUGUAAGUAUUUGUAAGUGAUAGUCAAUUAUUAUUUCUUCAGGCGCUCAAGAGAUCUUCAAGAGAAUCUCGGAGCAGACACUAAAAGCUUAUUUGCUCACUUACUACUUUUUGACUUGGUGAGUGUCAAGUGCAUGAUUUGUUGUUAAAUAUGUGAAUUGCUUCUUGUUAAUCAUGUGGAUUAGAAUUACCGAGAUGAAUGUGUGUACUGUAUCGCACUUGUUCUCUUUUAAAUGAAAUUAUGAUCGAACUUCGCUAUGUGAAUUGAUAUUCGACUUGUUGAAAUGAUGUGGUUGUGAAUCGUAUUUGUAAUCAUCGAUUGGAGCGUUGUCUUGUCGACUUAUAUGUAUAUUCGGGGGAUACCAAAACUGUGACGGCCCCAUCUCUCCCUAAGGCGAACGAAAGGGUAUCCACGGGACGCCUGCCAACUCUCGCAAGGACUCAUGGCAAUAUCCAUUCAAGCUUAGCACAAUACUAUUCGACAACACCAGAUAAGUAAGAAAAUGCAGAAAACUUUCAAACUUAACAAUAUAUAUUAUAUAUAUAACGAUUAUCCAAUCCUUACAUCAAAUUCCCAAAAGUUAUAUCAAUACCCAAAAUAUACAACAUCCCAGUACAUCAAAUAUCCAAAUCAUACAUCAGGUUCCAAAAGUACAACCAAUAAGAGGUCUAGCCAAAAUACAUUAGAAACCCUAAGCCAAAAGUGCAUCAAAAGGGGUUCCUCAAAGUCUCAUUCCAUAUCCAAUCCUUUUAAGGAAAACAAAUCUACAGGGUGAGCAAAACGCUCAUGAGACCAAGAAUACACAUGCAAGCACAUUGUUCAAGUAACAAUCCCAAUUUAACAAGUAGAGCAAUAAUGUUGCAAUAAAUAACAAUUCGAGCGGAAAAAGUAAACAAAACAAUUCAAGGAUAUCAGAGCUCUCAGGAGCUAAUUUCCACUUGCUUUGCCAAUGUCAAUCAUAUAGCUUCCCGCAAUGACACUCCGUCAACCGGGUUGGUAUUUCCAUUCUGUAGAGCAACUUAUUUCCCUCCGUCCACCGUGCAUCUCCCAGGCCCGCAAGACAUUUAUAAGGCGAUACUUCACGAGUAUGCCAAGCAAGACCUCUCAUUAGGUCGAGCUUAAUUAUCUCAUGGCUCGCCAAGGUUCCCAACCAAGCCCAUGCUGGCUCGAGUCCAAGGUCAGCCUAUGUGUUUGGGCAUCCCCAUUUACAUUUGAGAGUCGAGGAGAUUCACUCCAACGACGUAUGCAACCAUAACAUACCAUUUCAUUUCAUUCAAUCAUUCAAUCUCAUUCUCAUUCAAUUAAGUCAUUCAUAAUUCAUUCGUUUCAUUUGAAUCAUGAGUCAUUCAUUUCAAAUAAGAAUGAGUGCGGUAAAGUACACACUCGCCUCCAUUUUCAAAUCUCCAAACAAUCAUAACAAUUAAGCAUGUAUCAAGUAUUCAUACACUUGACACUCACCAAUAUAAGUAGUGAGGAAGAAAUGUCCCUCGGAGCUUAGGUGUUCACUGUGGGAUCCUUUGUGUGCCUGAACAAUUAACAAUGGUCUAUUACUGAUAAUCCUCAAACAAUGAGGAAGGUCGUACACUAGUACGAACUUAGAAAAUAUCUCGAAGAUCGGCCUAGUUUUCUUUUGAAAAUCGAGCUCAAAAGAGUUACAAAACUCGAGUAAACGAAUCACCAUCCAUAAAAUCAUUGGACAGAAACAAGUACAAGCAAAUAGAUCUCAAAACGAACGACCGAAGUCGGAAGAGGGCAGGUGACGUCACAAUCCGGCUGGAUUCCUGGCCGGAUUGGAGACAGAGGCUAACCUCCUUUUUUUUUCAAAAACCAACACCAAUCCGACCGCCUAUCCGGCCAAGAACUGGCGGAUUCAAGGCCGGAUUCUGAUGAAUAGUUUCCCGCGCGACUUUCUUUCAAAUGGUCACAAAUUUCAAUUUUUGGUGCAAUCUUUUGAAAAAUUAUAACUCACUCCUUGAUUGUCCAAAAUUGAAAACUUUGGUACCGUUGGAAACAUCAUUCAAAGUACUAAAAUUUGUUAGAAGACACCUUUCCAUGAAUCCAAGUGGAAGGCAUUCGAAUUUUGGCUUGAAGUUGAUAACCUGCGUUAUCAAGACAGUAUUAAGUUCGUUUCUGGCCAACUUUGAAAAUUCGGCAAAAUUCACUCUAUUUGAACUAGCCUUUGAAAUUUGGAACUCUAUCAGAGUUGUAAUCUUAGUUUAAAAUAGAACAAGCAGAAUGAGAAUUGAAGUUUUGAGCACCAAGAAAUGGUAGCUCAAUGUUACACAAAUUUCCUUGUUAAACAAGGGUUUUUCCAAAAUCAAGUCAUGAACUUUGGAAGUUUAGUUGAACAAUGAAACGGCCUCGGAAUAACACCAAAAUUAGCAGUAUUACACUACCAUAUAAGGGUUAUUCCUAUACCAAAUUUCAUGGAUAAAUAAGUACGAAAACUGGGUUAACAAGACCGUUGAAUUCACAAGAAAUUCUAAGGCUAAACUGCCUUUGAACUUCCGUUUUGCCGUUUCCAAGCACAUGGUCAAGAAACAUCUCAAACAUGGUCCAUUACAGUAGGUAAUGUCUAAAAUAUGUUCAAGGUACAUUCGAUAGGUGAUUUACACUAAGAAGCUUCGGAUAACAAGUUCCAAAUCAUUGUUAGUUUCAAAUCUGUCCAAAUACAUGGUAUUCCUUCACAAGACCAGAUUUGAAUUUUGAUCAUAAAUCACUCAAUUCAACUCAAAAUUGAGCAUGGUUGGUGGAGUUGGAAAUAGACUCAUAAGGCUACAUUUUCUCAGAAGAAACAGUUUUCAAAAUCCGUCCACAACUAGUUCACAUUUGAGCCUCAAAAUACAGUUCAUGUUCUGCCCUGUAGUGAACCAAUGAAACAAAACAGCAAUCUUUAAAUGAAUGGUUUGGCUCACACAAGUGGAACCAAAACAUGAAUUUCACACCAAUGGAAAGCUGGGAAUGUCUAGUUUCCAGUGCCACAAACGGCACUCGAUUCUGACAUCAGAACGAUGAGUUAUAGCCAAAACAAGAUGACUGCCUGGGCAGUAACAGGAACCAAUUCCAGAUUUCUAAGCUUCCAAAAUUCCAACAUUUGGGUGACCAAAUCAAGUUAUUUUUCAAUGAAACUUUUUACACACUCAAUAUAACUUGUAAACAACAUAAACAAACCAUUAGAACCUCAAAAUUUCGUACCAAAGUGCUCGAACAAAGCAGGGGCAAAAUGGUCACUUUUGGUUAUUGCACCAUCCUUGAGUUUCUAUCAAUAACCCAACAUUAAUCCACCAAUAUAAGCACUCAACCAACAUUAAUUUCAUCAUCAAUCACCAAAUCAGUCCAUCCAAUCCAAGUGGGAGUUCCUAGAGCUCACACAACAAUUUUUCAACAUAUCCAACAUAUCCAAUUUUUCACAUAACCCUCCUUUUCGUAGCACUAGACAGGAACAAUUAAACAAGAACAAGUAACUAAAACCACUAUCUCGUGGAGCAUUUAAACACAUAACACAUAUACAGAGAACACAUAACCGGAUUAAGCAAUUAUAUAGAACAGUCAAUCAAGUACAUACUGUAGACACCAAAUUUUGGUGUAAUUUCAUUUACUAUUUAUUUAUUUUUUUUUUAGUUUGUGCUCGUUUUAUUCACUUUUUAGUUUUUAGUUUUUUAGUUUUUUGUGUGUUAUUAUUAUUAUUUUUAAGUUUUUAGCAUAGAAUUUCUCGAAAAGAAAAGAAAAGCAUUCAAAAAAAUAUGUUUUCAUUGUUUUGAUUUAAAUGCAAUGUUUUCUUGGAAAAAAUGGAAAAAUGAGAAUGAAAAUGAAAAAUGGAAAAAAAAAAGAGAAAAGAAAAAUCAUAAAAAAGGAUAAAAAAGAGAAAAAAGGAAAAUCAUAAAAAAGGAAAAAAAAAGAGAAAAUUGUUCACAAAAAUACGUUCAAAUUCAAUCUUUGGGCACUUUAGUUAUUUUCUAAAAAGAAAAGAAAAAGGGGGAAAAAUGAAGAAAAUUUGAAAAAUGGACAUUUUUGUUUAGUUUUUUGUUUAAAAUUAUUUUUGUUUUAUUAUUAUUAUUAUCUGGUUUUUGUCAAUUUGUUAUUAUUAUUAUUUAUAUUUUAUCAUUUCUGUAUUUAUUAAGUAGAAAGUUAAAAAAGAAAAAAAAAAAAAAGGGUCACGCAUGCCAAAAGCUGCGUGUUGCCGCAGCUUGCAAGAAGAAAUGGCAGGGAGUCCUUGGGGAGUAAAAUUGGCUACAAAGGCCAGGUGUCUAGGACACCUGGCAGGGGGAUGAAUCUAUAAGGAGGGGGCUAGGUUUUUGAGCUAAGGAAGAGAGAGUGAGAGAGAAGGGCGGCUGCAAAGAAAAAAAACGGAGUGAAGAGCAAUGGCAAGAGGAUCUGCAGAGUAACGGCUGAAAACAAAAAAAGGGAAAGAAAAGAGGGAGGCAACCGAGAGCAGGGGAGGGCCGAGAAAAAGAAAAGCAAAAAGGAAACGGCUGGAGAGGUUGGUGGCGGCAUAAAAGGGAAGUAAGUGACGGCUGGAAAGGGAGGCUUUGAGAGAGUUUUGGCCGAGCAGGAAGCAAGGAAAACCAGGGGGGGACAGCCGCAACUUUGGCAAAAACAAAAGAGAGAAAGCCAGAGAGAGGAGGGGUUUGGAGUGAGAUACGUGAGCGGAUGAAACAAGAGAGUAACGGCGAGGGUCUUUGAGGAGAGAACAAAAGAGACGGAUCCGGGAAAGAAAAAAUGAAAAGCUGAUUAUCAGCUAUGUUUUAGCCCUCAUAUCUCUUCAGUUUUUGAUGAUUCCAAGAAAAAUUCGAGUUCUGCAUCAACUAGGAAGUAAGGGGAGAAGAUUUUGUUCAGAGAUCGAUCGCAAAGGACAUUGAUAAGGUCUUCGAAUCUGCCCCCAAAGACCGCUGCCUAGCUUCAUUGGUGCGGGUUCGAA
rnacentral:lncRNA from 1 species